UCCCAGCCUGCAUUUCCAAAUGCACAUUUACUCACUGGGUAGAGAGAAAACCCAGACUCCCCAGGGCUGCUGAUAAGAGCCUCCCAUCCACCAGGGGCCAGGGAGUCCGCACGGCACAGAGGAGCCCCAGCCGCCCCCAGCACAGGGGACGGAAAAAAAAACUUCACUCGAGGACACAUAUACUGAUUUUAGAGAGAGAGAGAGGAAGAGAGAGGAACAUCGAUCAGUUGCCUCCUGUAUGUCCCUAUCAGGGAGCGGACCUGCAGCCUAGGUAUGCGCCCUGACCGGGGAUUGAACCUGCAACUUUUUGGUGUACAGGACGAGGCUCCAACCAACUGAACCACCCGGCCAGGGCUUGAGAAUUCUCUCAGACACCAGCCACGAUGGGGCCACCCAGAACCUCCGCCUAAUGAAAGAUUAAGGUCAUGAGAGUCACGACCGAAGGCUGCAGAAAGUUUAUUAUUGGGAACUAGACUGAAAACACGAGGCUUAAUUUAGCAUCAGAUGCUAAAACAGCCAACAGCGCGUGGACCUUACCCCGCCCACCGUGGGCCGCACAAGCUUCGUGCACGCUGGAGGCGACGCUGCUCUUACUCUCCAAACGCCACAGAGAUAUGUCUGGAAAAGGCAGAAGAAAGUUCCAGGUUGGUGGCUGAAGCCUCUCCUUCCAGAUCAUGACAUAAGUCCGAAGUCACUCGGAAAGGAAAUGCUCACCCCUCUCUGUGUGCUGGGAAUUGUAAAAGUCCCCCACAAGGCAUUCCUCUGAACACCACAACGCUGCCGCUCCAGGCCGGUCCUCUCUGGGCUCGGGACAAGCCCCUGGGCCUGUCCCAACUGAUGUGGGGACUGUGAUACAUGUCUAAGGGCUGAGACCUCUUGCCCUUCCCAAAUCUCUGAAAAUUUCCCACCCAUAAGAAGAGGACUCAUAUUCAAAAGCCCCUAAUGUUGCUGUUGCUUUUCUCUAAAGAGGAACACAGAGUCUAAGAAAACAGUAGUUUCCUCUUAUGAAAUGUAUCACUCAGUUUUGAAAUUUAGGAUAGAAAGUUAGAAGACACGUAGGGACCCACAAGGCUUGCUUGUGAGGUUCCCACGCAAUGGCAAGUAUUUCCUGCACCUCGGCCUGUUUCCCUGUGUCUACUCGGGAAGGGCUUUUGACGAAUUGGAGGCUACCCCUGUAUCCACCUGAUGUCCUUCCAAUUUGAUGAGUUAUCCUGCAUUUUUUAAAAAAUUCUUACCCAAGGAUAUUUUAUUAUUGAUUUUGGAGAGAGAGAGAGAGAGAGGGAGAGAGUAACAUCAGUGUGAGAGAGAAACAUUGGCCAGUUGCCUCCUGUAGGUGCCCUGACCAGGAAUCGAACCCACAACCUUUUGGUGUACAGGACAACUCCCCAAGCAGCCGAGCCCCCCCUGGCCAGGGCAGGAGCUGUCUUGUAUUAUGAAAGUGUCACAGUGCUUUGCUUUGUUACGUGCCAGAGCCCAAUAUUGUAAAACAACUCUCUGGGCACCAGGGAGCAACACUAUUUUGGGGGCUGGAGACCAGCCGGGAUUUCAGAAAUGCUGUCGUUUCAGACCGAGGCUGGCCAGGAAGGGGGCCAGACGGCUGUGGGGAAAGAACACAGGGAGAGAUGAGCAUCAGGAAAAUGAGCAAAAGCCUCAAAGACUGUGUCAUGACGACAGACGCUUAAAUAGUGCAGAGCCCACAGAGUGCUAUCACUUCUGGUCCAAACGGUUGCCCAAGACAGAGAUAUUAGCACCGACAGCAUUUCCUCCUUUACUCUCGACGAAGGUUUGGCUGCCGGUCCAAGGGGUCUCGAAAGGAAGAGAGAAGACAGAACCUCCCGUUUCAGCCCUCAGAAAUCUCGGACUGGCAGCGGGUGCAGCCAUUUGGGGCAAAUAUUUGAUGGGGAGGGAGAAGUAGCUCUCUUCUCAAAACUGUGACUCUGAGACCCCAAGGCUUGCUAAGCGUGGAGGAGCCGGCCAGCUCGGGACCGGACCACCCGCCUGUCAACUCAUUCCAGCAGAAGGCCGGACCCGCCCAGGUUGUUGCAAGUGCAGAGUCAGAAGCAUUUUAACCUGUUAUGGAGUCACAGCAAAGAAAGCCUACCCGGGGCCGGUAAUGCGCGAGGGGGGCCUCACACGCAGCCAACUGUCACAUCGAUGCUUGAGGUGGCCCGGCCCGGCCGCCUGCACGGGGACAAGUUGCAGCCCCUAGGCCACUUCGCCUGAUUGGACUCUAUGGUCAGGGCACUAGUUCAUGUCUUAUCGGGGGACCUUGUGAGACGAGAGCCCAAGGAAACCAGGACACACCCUCACGCAGGAGCCUGAACUUGCAACGGUGUGGCGCCGAGUCGGGAGGCCGAGCGUUUGCGCUCUGCCCCUUAGCCCAUUACAGAAAAUGUUUUUACUGUGCUCCACACACAUUUUCCUGCCUCCCUUGGUUGUAAAUCACAACGCUUUACAGCUAGAAGGCGUCUCAGGGACAUUCUAGACAUCUCCCAUUUUACA